rnacentral:rRNA from 1 species
AUUGAACGCUGGCGGCAUGCUUUACACAUGCAAGUCGGACGGUAACGGGUUAAGCUGACGAGUGGCGAACGGGUGAGUAAUGCAUCGGAACGCGCCCGAUCGUGGGGGAUAACGCAGCGAAAGCUGCGCUAAUACCGCAUACGAUCUGAGGAUGAAAGCGGGGGACCGUAAGGCCUCGCGCGAUCGGAGCGGCCGAUGUCAGAUUAGGUAGUUGGUGGGGUAAAGGCUCACCAAGCCAACGAUCUGUAGCUGGUCUGAGAGGACGACCAGCCACACUGGAACUGAGACACGGUCCAGACUCCUACGGGAGGCAGCAGUGGGGAAUUUUGGACAAUGGACGCAAGUCUGAUCCAGCCAUUCCGCGUGCAGGAUGAAGGCCCUCGGGUUGUAAACUGCUUUUGUACGGAACGAAAAGGUCUCUCUUAAUACGGGGGACUCAUGACGGUACCGUAAGAAUAAGCACCGGCUAACUACGUGCCAGCCGCCGCAGUAA